rnacentral:rRNA from 1 species
UACAGAGGGGGCAAGCGUUGUUCGGAAUUACUGGGCGUAAAGGGCGCGUAGGCGGCCUUCUAAGUCGAACGUGAAAGCCCCGGGCUCAACCUGGGAACGGCGCGCGAAACGGGAGGGCUGGAGUUCGGGAGAGGAGAGUGGAAUUCCCAGUGUAGAGGUGAAAUUCGUAGAUAUUGGGAAGAACACCGGUGGCGAAGGCGGCUCUCUGGACCGAGACUGACGCUGAGGCGCGAAAGCGUGGGGAGCAAACAGG